UGAGCUUGAUCCUGGCUCAGGAUGAACGCUAGCGGCAGGCUUAACACAUGCAAGUCGAGGGGUAUUAGUUUUCGGACUAAGAGACCGGCGCACGGGUGCGUAACGCGUAUGCAAUCUACCUUUUACAGAGGGAUAGCCCAGAGAAAUUUGGAUUAAUACCUCAUAGUAUAAUGACUCGGCAUCGAGAUAUUAUUAAAGUCACAACGGUAAAAGAUGAGCAUGCGUCCCAUUAGCUAGUUGGUAAGGUAACGGCUUACCAAGGCUACGAUGGGUAGGGGUCCUGAGAGGGAGAUCCCCCACACUGGUACUGAGACACGGACCAGACUCCUACGGGAGGCAGCAGUGAGGAAUAUUGGACAAUGGGCGCAAGCCUGAUCCAGCCAUGCCGCGUGCAGGAUGACGGUCCUAUGGAUUGUAAACUGCUUUUAUACGAGAAGAAACACUGCUUCGUGAAGCAGCUGACGGUAUCGUAG
rnacentral:rRNA from 2 species